AACGAACGCUGGCGGCAUGCCUAACACAUGCAAGUCGAACGAGACCUUCGGGUCUAGUGGCGCACGGGUGCGUAACGCGUGGGAACCUGCCCUUAGGUUCGGAAUAACUCCCCGAAAGGGGUUCUAAUACCGCAUAAUGUCCUCGGACCAAAGAUUUAUCGCCUUUGGAUGGGCCCGCGUUGGAUUAGCUAGUUGGUAGGGUAAAAGCCUACCAAGGCGACGAUCCAUAGCUGGUCAGAGAGGAUGAGCAGCCACACUGGGACUGAGACACGGCCCAGACUCCUACGGGAGGAAGCAGUGGGGAAGAUUGGAGAAUGGGCGAAAGCCUGAUCCAGCAAUGCCGCGUGAGUGAUGAAGGCCUUAGGGUUGUAAAGCUCUUUUACCCGGGAUGAUAAUGACGGUACCGGGAGAAUAAGCUCCGGCUAACUCCGUG
rnacentral:rRNA from 1 species